GACGAACCGUGCGAAUGUUGUUCGGAAUCACUGGGCUUAAAGGGCGCGUAGGCGGGCUAUCAAGUCUGGGGUGAAAUGCCGCGGCUCAACCGUGGAACUGCCUUAGAUACUGACGGCCUCGAGGAAGGUAGGGGCAUGCGGAACUGUAGGUGGAGCGGUGAAAUGCGUUGAUAUCUACAGGAACUCCGGUGGCGAAAGCGGCGUGCUGGACCUUUUCUGACGCUGAGGCGCGAAAGCUAGGGGAGCAAACGGG
rnacentral:rRNA from 1 species